rnacentral:rRNA from 1 species
AUCAUGGCUCAGGAUGAACGCUAGCUACAGGCUUAACACAUGCAAGUCGAGGGGAAACGACAUUGGAAGCUUGCUUCCGAUGGGCGUCGACCGGCGCACGGGUGAGUAACGCGUAUCCAACCUGCCCAUCACUUGGGGAUAACCUUGCGAAAGUAAGGACUAAUACCCCAAUGACGUCCAUAGAAGACAUCUGAAAUGGAUUAAAGAUUUAUCGGUGAUGGAUGGGGAUGCGUCUGAUUAGCUUGUUGGCGGGGUAACGGCCCACCAAGGCGACGAUCAGUAGGGGUUCUGAGAGGAAGGUCCCCCACAUUGGAACUGAGACACGGUCCAAACUCCUACGGGAGGCAGCAGUGAGGAAUAUUGGUCAAUGGGCGAGAGCCUGAACCAGCCAAGUAGCGUGCAGGACGACGGCCCUAUGGGUUGUAAACUGCUUUUAUAAGGGAAUAAAGUGAGUCUCGUGAGACUUUUGCAUGUACCUUAUGAAUAAGGACCGGCUAAUUCCGUG